rnacentral:rRNA from 1 species
GGUCAAGUUAUUAAGGGUGCAGGGCGGAUGCCUUGGCACUAGGAGCCGAUGAAGGACGUGAUAAGCUGCGAUAAGCUUCGGGGAGUUGCACGUAAACUUUGAUCCGAAGAUUUCCGAAUGAGGAAACUCACUUAGAGUAAUGUCUAAGUAUCAUUAAGUGAAUACAUAGCUUAAUGAGGGGAACUCAGGGAACUGAAACAUCUAAGUACCUGAAGGAAGAGAAAGAAAUUCGAUUCCGUAAGUAGCGGCGAGCGAACGCGGAUUAGCCCAAACCAAUAAAGUUUUCUUUAUUGGGGUUGCGGACAUAUCAUAACGAAGAGGUAUCGUAAUUGAAGAGGUUUGGAAAGACCCACCACAGAAGGUAAUAGUCCUGUAUGUUAAACGAGAAGACUUUAGAUAUGAUCCAGAGUACCACGGGACACGUGAAACCCUGUGGGAAGCAGGAGGGACCACCCUCCAAGGCUAAAUACUACCUAGUGACCGAUAGCGUAUAGUACCGUGAGGGAAAGGUGAAAAGAACCCCGGGAGGGG